UUCACAGAGUCAUUGUCCUUCAUAUCGAUUGAGAUCUAACUUCAUGAUUUUUGGCCUGAAGUCUCAUGCGAUCAAUCUGACAGAUACUGUUAGAGACAAAAAGAGCAUUCGUUUUCUUGUUGACAGUCCUCAUUUUUUCAGUAACUUUUGAAGUCAUCAGCCGUGAGUUUCUGCUGGGAUGGCUUGGAUAGCAUGAAAACAGGAUCAUGAAAUGGCAGUGAUUCUGCUCCUUCCAGCUGGGAAGAUUCUGUAGCAAUCUACUCUCUUUGAAUUCUUCACUUUAAAUGGGUUGCUUCUUUUAUGAAUUUGGAUUUGAUUUCAUUGGUGGAAGUGAAUAAUGUGAGACUCAAGAAUUGAUGUACAAUUUGAGGAACUCCCUGGAUUUGUGGCUCCUGCUCAAGAAGCAGCUGGCAGCUGUGUCUAGGGACCCUUUGCACAGAUACAUAUUGUGUCUCAAUCACACUCAUUUGUGGAUUGGGAUGCCCUGCCUAGGAUCACUCAAACCUUGGUCACUUUCAGGUGUGACUAUUGCAAUGUGUUCUGCAUGAGACUAUCUUUGAAGACCACCUAGAAAUUACAGUUGGUCCAGAAUAUAGCAUUUUGCAUGGUAAUAGACACCCCCUCAGUUUGCCAAUAG